CCCUUAGAUGUUCUGGGCCGCACGCGUGCUACACUGAGUGGAUCAGCGGGUCAGGUUGCGCGAAAGUGUUUCCUAAUCUUGAAAUCCGCUCGUGAUGGGGAUUGACGGUUGCAAUUUUCCGUCAUGAACGAGGAAUACCUUGUAAGCGCGGGUCAUCAUCCCGCGCUGAAUACGUCCCUGCCCUUUGCACACACCGCCCAUCGCUCCUACCGAUUGAGUGGUCCGGUGAGGCUUUGGGAUCUGAGCGGAAAGAGCGUUUCGCUGUUUCUGCUCGGAAAACUCAGUCGAACCUUAUCAUUUAGAGGAAGGAGAAGUCGUAACA
rnacentral:rRNA from 1 species